GGAUGAGAGAGACGGCGAGCAGGACUGUCAUCACCUAGCUACUGAGAGUGCCCCCUGUCUGUGACAUUGAGUUCCUGGCUGACCUUGAGCCAUGAAGAUUCUUUACCUGCUCUUUGCUGUUUUCUUUUUGGUGCUCCAGGGUGCACCAGAAUUCUCCCAGGCUCAGAAUUUCAAUAUCAACUGCAUACGCAAGGGGGGUUUCUGUUUCUUUUGGAGAUGUCCCCAGAAUUGGAAACUCAUUGGAUUUUGCUCCAACGGGUACGUUUGCUGUAUAAGGUGAAUUAGUGACUAAUUGUCUAAGCAGGAUCUCCGGGAAUCUGGCAGACAGCCACUUGCUUCUAAAAUCAUCAGAUCCUGCUUCAAUGGAACCCUGAAGUGCUGUUUAACUGGGCUGUAAAGAACCUUGUAAUAAAAGC